rnacentral:rRNA from 1 species
UACGGAGGGAGCUAGCGUUGUUCGGAAUUACUGGGCGUAAAGCGCACGUAGGCGGCGAUUCAAGUCAGAGGUGAAAGCCCGGGGCUCAACUCCGGAACUGCCUUUGAAACUAGAUUGCUAGAAUCUUGGAGAGGCGAGUGGAAUUCCGAGUGUAGAGGUGAAAUUCGUAGAUAUUCGGAAGAACACCAGUGGCGAAGGCGAGUCCCUGGACAACACCUGACACUGAGGCACGAAAGCUAGGGGAGCAAACAGG